ACUCCUACGGGAGGCAGCAGUGGGGAAUUUUGGACAAUGGGCGCAAGCCUGAUCCAGCAAUGCCGCGUGCAGGAUGAAGGCCUUCGGGUUGUAAACUGCUUUUGUACGGAACGAAAAGCCCUGGGUUAAUACCCUGGGGUCAUGACGGUACCGUAAGAAUAAGCACCGGCUAACUACGUGCCAGCAGCCGCGGUAAUACGUAGGGGUGCGAGCGUUAAUCGGAAUUACUGGGCGUAAAGCGUGCGCAGGCGGUUUUGUAAGACAGAGGUGAAAUCCCCGGGGCUCAACCUGGGAACUGCCUUUGUGACUGCAAGGCUAGAGUACGGCAGAGGGGGAUGGAAUUCCGCGUGUAGCAGUGAAAUGCGUAGAUAUGCGGAGGAACACCGAUGGCGAAGGCAAUCCCCUCGGGCCUGU
rnacentral:rRNA from 1 species